rnacentral:rRNA from 1 species
UACGUAGGGGGCAAGCGUUGUCCGGAAUCAUUGGGCGUAAAGAGCGUGUAGGCGGCCUUAUAAGUCGGCUGUGAAAGUCAAGGGCUCAACCCUUGAAUGCCGGCCGAUACUGUCAGGCUAGAAUCCGGAAGAGGCGAGUGGAAUUCCUGGUGUAGCGGUGAAAUGCGCAGAUAUCAGGAGGAACACCUAUGGCGAAGGCAGCUCGCUGGGACGGUAUUGACGCUGAGACGCGAAAGCGUGGGGAGCGAACAGG